GUCAGUGUAGUGUAGUGGUUUGCAUGUUGGACUACAACUCUGGAGACCAGGGUUCAAAUCCUGGUUUGGCC
rnacentral:tRNA from 1 species